rnacentral:rRNA from 1 species
UACGGAGGGUGCAAGCGUUAUCCGGAUUCACUGGGUUUAAAGGGUGCGUAGGUGGGAAUGUAAGUCAGUGGUGAAAUCUCCGUGCUUAACAUGGAAACUGCCAUUGAUACUAUGUUUCUUGAAUUUUUCUUGGAGGUUCAGCGGAAUAUGUCAUGUAGCGGUGAAAUGCUUAGAUAAUGACAUUAGAACACCAAAUUGCGAAAGGCAGCCUGGUCUACAGGGAUAU